rnacentral:rRNA from 1 species
CAGCCGCCGCGGGAAUACGAGGGGGGCAAGCGUUGUUCGGAAUUAUUGGGCGUAAAGGGCGCGUAGGCGGUUUGGCAAGUUUGGUGUGAAAUCUUCGGGCUCAACUCGAAGUCUGCACCGAAAACUGCCGGGCUUGAGUAUGGGAGAGGUGAGUGGAAUUUCCGGUGUAGCGGUGAAAUGCGUAGAUAUCGGAAGGAACACCUGUGGCGAAAGCGGCUCACUGGACCAUUACUGACGCUGAGGCGCGAAAGCUAGGGGAGCAAACAGGAUUAGAUACCCCCGUAGUCCCUGUCUCUUAUAC